rnacentral:rRNA from 1 species
AGUAACACGUGGAUAACCUGCCUUAUACUGGGGGAGUAACAGCCAGAAAUGGCUGCUAAUACCGCAUAAGCGCACGGCGCCGCAUGGCGCAGUGUGAAAAACUCCGGUGGUAUAAGAUGGAUCCGCGCCUGAUUAGCUAGUUGGCGGGGGCAGCGGCCCACCAAGGCGACGAUCAGUAGCCGGCCUGAGAGGGCGACCGGCCACAUUGGGACUGAGACACGGCCCAAACUCCUACGGGAGGCAGCAG